CAAACGCAAAAGUGAUCCUUUUUUUAUUUCCCAUAAUUCUUACUACACUACAUGCAACUUCCUUUUUUGCCUCAAAUAUAGCCGAAAUGGCAGUUGGAAAGAAUAAGAGGCUUACUAAAGGUGGCAAGAAGGGUGGAAAAAAGAAAGUGUGCGUAUUUAAAGUAUCAAUUGUUCAUAAAUGAAUGUGUUAAGAAAGAGAAUAAAGAUCCCCGGUGUACUGAUGAUACGAUGUUAAACUGAUUUUUAUUCGAUUGGUCUUCAUCAUGCCCAAAGUUGUCGUUCAUCCCUGAUUAAACACACAUGACUCGCUCACAUUAUUGUUUAACCUUAACCGAUAGAUGAAUUACACAAGCAAAUUAGUACACAUGUUUUGUGGUUUGAAGAACUAGCUCAUAUAAAUAAUGGGAAUACUUGUAAAUUGACCGCAGCCGUCCCGUCAGGAUGUUUUUACCUUGCUUUAUUUAGAAUGUAGAGCACAAAAAGUUCCCAUACGUUUAA
rnacentral:lncRNA from 1 species